rnacentral:rRNA from 1 species
CAGCCGCCACGGGAAUACGUAGGGGGCAAGCGUUAUCCGGAAUAACUGGGCGUAAAGGGUGCGCAGGUGGUUUAACAAGUUAGUGGUGAAAGGCAUAGGCUCAACCAAUGUAAGCCAUUAAAACUAUUUAACUUGAGUGCAGGAGAGGAAAGUGGAAUUCCUAGUGUAGCGGUGAAAUGCGUAGAUAUUAGGAGGAAUACCAGUGGCGAAGGCGACUUUCUGGACUGCAACUGACACUGAGGCACGAAAGCGUGGGGAGCAAAUGGGAUUAGAUACCCCAGUAGUCCCUGUCUCUUAUACA